AAUUGGGCAACCCCAUAGGUGGCGAUGUACGCGCGCGAGUCGCCAAUGAGCCAAGGGAGGAAGAAGUCGUCAGAGCAAGUUGUGGUGGAGUGAUGGUUGAGAGUGCAAUCUAUUCUGCUUACCCGACUCAUGCAGACUUCUGUCCUGAUGUUUGGCUGUAGUCCUUCCAUCAUCCACUCUUCUGCAACCGGUCUAUUUAUGGAGACCACCAUGAUCUAAUCUAUACAGAUCUAGUUGUCUCUUCUCCCACAAACUCCUCUUUCAGAUUUUGAGCGGAUCUCCUUCAUUCUGCCGCCAGCUCACCAGAACCUCUGGGUGCACCAGCUGUGGAUAUUACAGGCCAAACUUUGGACACCCUAGGACAACAUCCUUAGCACAGAUCUACCUAUAGCCCUCCAUCAUUCCCACAUCCAUCUUGCAACAGUUUCAUUAAGUGCAGUCCAUAACCAGUUCACGGUCUACACCUUGUCCAUUGCAAAUGUUAUGGAUUAUUCUAAUAGAGAUCUUUCUAUUAUUUUUUUGAGACUGUUAUUAUGUACUCUGUUAUGUUGUGAAUAAAGUCAAC